rnacentral:rRNA from 1 species
UGGGAAACAGGUUAAUAUUCCUGUACUUGGUGUUACUGCGAAGGGGGGACGGAGAAGGCUAUGUUGGCCGGGCGACGGUUGUCCCGGUUUAAGCGUGUAGGCUGGUUUUCCAGGCAAAUCCGGAAAAUCAAGGCUGAGGCGUGAUGACGAGGCACUACGGUGCUGAAGCAACAAAUGCCCUGCUUCCAGGAAAAGCCUCUAAGCAUCAGGUAACAUCAAAUCGUACCCCAAACCGACACAGGUGGUCAGGUAGAGAAUACCAAGGCGCUUGAGAGAACUCGGGUGAAGGAACUAGGCAAAAUGGUGCCGUAACUUCGGGAGAAGGCACGCUGAUAUGUAGGUGAAGUCCCUCGCGGAUGGAGCUGAAAUCAGUCGAAGAUACCAGCUGGCUGCAACUGUUUAUUAAAAACACAGCACUGUGCAAACACGAAAGUGGACGUAUACGGUGUGACGCCUGCCCGGUGC